UUGUUUAUUAUACUUUUCACUCAUCAUGAAAAUCAUUCUAUUAUUUGCUUCAAAUGUAACAAAGUAGGCCAUAGAAUUUUUGAAUGUAAUAUUAUUAGAAAUGGUCAUAUUUUGGUCAAAUAAAUUUGGAUUCCAAAAGAAAUUGUGUACAUUAACUCCUAUAGAUCCAAUAUGGAUGAGUACCAAAAUUUAGAAAGUAAUUUUGUAGAUAUACCAAGCAACC
rnacentral:lncRNA from 1 species